AACUUCUCAUUCCUCUCUCUCUCUCUCUCUCUCUCUCUCUCUCCACUUCCCCUGACAUUCCUCAGAUCUGAGGCCAGAGACAUGUCUGCAUUGGGAUUCCCAUCACAGCAAUCAUUGUCUCGAUGCUGAUCUCCAUCGUGCUUCCCCUGUCAGAGCUGUUCCGCAGAUAUUUUCGGAAACUGGGUAUUGGCUUUUUCACAUUUCUUCUGUGGUCCCCUGUCUCUCUCUCUCUCACCCUCUUGAUACGGCGUGGAUUUAGGGGGGAUUAAUGUGUUGGGUGCCCAUCAGAAGAGCUGUUCGAGCAUUGUGCUUCAAGUAAUUCUGGGUAAAGACUGUAUUUAAGCACGUUACUUGCAAAAAUUGAACAGCUUCGUGCAAAGUCUGUAUACUCUCUCCAGUCCUUUUCACGUAUCGAAUAAAAGUUCCGCUUUUUGGGGCGAUUUUUUUAGAUUUAAGGAUGUGUCGAUCGCGAAGCUCGAGUUGUUGGGGGAGUGCAUUGUAAGCAAAGCUUGGAAUUCUCAGAAGAAAACCCAAAAUUGUUUCGGUUGGAACAGUUUAAGCUUUUGAUCUUUUUCCUCUUCUGGGUUUCACUCGGAUUGUUCUUGAAGUUCUGAUUUUGCCCAGAUAGUGAUUUGGGUGAUGAGAAUUGCACGCAUGGUAGUCGGAGUCUAAAAUCUGCCCGCCGCGGCAGAGCCCGCGAUGGACCGCCGGACUUGGCUCUGGCGAAGGAAGUCGUCCGAGAAGAGUCCCGGAGAAACAGAGAGCUCCGGUUCGUUGUCCUCUCAUUCUGGACGAUUUUCCGAUGAACAGGCAUAUCCAACGCAUAGCAGUCUAUCUCAAGAAGUCACAUCUAAGGUUGCGGUUGCGGAUGACGAAGUAGGUGAGGAUGUGAGGACUCUAUCAGAGAAAUUAUCUGCCGCGCUUCUGAAUAUUAGCGCCAAGGAAGAAUUAGUGAAGCAGCAUGCUAAAGUUGCAGAAGAAGCUGUAUCAGGAUGGGAGAACGCUGAAAAUGAAGUCUUGGUGUUGAAGAAACAACUGGAGGCUGCAACACAAAAGAACUCAAUGCUGGAAGAUCGGAUUGGUCAUCUUGAUGGAGCGCUUAAGGAAUGUGUGAGGCAGCUCAGACAGGUGAGGGAAGAGCAAGAGCAGAAGAUCCAAGAAGCUGUGGUCAAGAAAACUCGUGAGUGGGAAUUAACAAAGGCCGAGCUUGAGACUAAGCUUUCUGAUGUCCAUGCCCAGCUUCAAGCUGCCAAGAGUGAAGCUUCUUCAGUUAUAAGUUCUGAUCUUGGCCCUAAGCUUGAUGCUGCUGAAAAAGAGAGCGUAGCCCUCAAAGCCAAAGUCCUUUCUCUGUCUGAGGAGCUAGAAAUUAGGAUUAUUGAGCGUGAUUUGAGCACCCAAGCAGCAGAAACAGCCAGCAAACAGCAUUUAGAGAGCAUAAAGAAGGUAGCUAGGCUUGAAGCCGAAUGCCGCAGACUCAGAGCCAUGUCUCGGAAAGCAACUGCGACGAAUGAUAUUAAGUCUUUCUCUGCAUCAUCGGUUUGCAUAGAGUCCUUCACCGAUAGCCAAUCAGAUGUAGGGGAUAGACUGCUAGCAGUUGAGAAUGACAUGCAGAAAGCGAGUUGCUUGGAGCCAAAUGAUUGUGAGCUGGGUCACUCUGAGUCAUGGGCAUCUGCUCUGAUAACUGAACUCGACCAUUUUAAGAAAGACAAAUCUUUUGGAAAGAAUCUCAUGGUUUCUUCAGGAGGAAUUGAUUUAAUGGAUGAUUUUCUGGAAAUGGAAAGGCUUGCAGCUUUACCAGACGCAGAAAGUGGAAGCUGCAGCCAAGGAGUGGAGCCCACUCUGGAUCAAAACAGAUCUGAUGAAGUCCCUCUCAAAUCCGAGCUUGAAGCCAUGAUCAAUAGAACGGCAGAGCUGGAGGAGGAAUUAGAGAAGAAGGAAGAAGAAAAGGAGAAGCUAGAGAUGGCUCUAAAUCAAUGUCAAAAGCAACUUGAAACGUCAUGGAGUCAGCUCAAUGAGGUUGAGAUGAGAUUGGUAGAACUCGACACCAUGUUGUCUGCAGCACAAAAAUCGAAGCAAGCUGCAGAAGAGGAAGCAAGGAUUACCCAUGAGAGGAUGGAAGUGACAGAGUCAAGACUCAUGGAUGUUGAAGAGGAGAUGAAAAAGUUGCUCCUUAAUGUCAAAUUGUUACAAGAAGAGGUUGAAAGAGAGCGUGCAUCGUCUGCUGAAAAUGAGGCAAAAUAUCGGAAGCUGGGGGAUGAAAAUGCUGAAAAUGAGGCAAAAUGUUGGAAGCUGGAGGAUGAAAAUCUAAAGAUGAAAAGGGAUGCUGAACUGCAGCAUGAGACCGAGCUUCAGCGUGUGGCUGUCUCUGAUGACGAGCUAAAAGUAAAGCAGUUUUGUUAUGUAAAACAGGAGCAAGAGCUAGCAGUCGCUGCUAGCCGGUUCGCAGAGUGCCAGAAGACUAUUUCAUCUCUCGCUCGGCAAUUAAAAUCUCUAGCAGCAGUAGACGACUUCCUCAUUGAUUCUGAUCUGAUGUGCGAUCACCUGGAUGAAGGAUUACCAAGUCCCGAAAACGAACUGCACCAUUUAAACCACCCGCCGGUCCUCAUUUCUGCUGAAGAAAGAUGAAAGAAUCACGGUUUAAGAAGUUGAUUAUUCAACUGGCUGAGGCAGGAAGAUGAAAUGAGUGAGCAGUAAAUCGUAUCAAGUCCUUUCAGUGAAUUUUCGACUGAAAGUGAGAAGUUUAUGUACCACUUCAUUUUGCCCAAGACACCAUCUGUACCUGCAAAAUGUGGAUGGAACUGAAUUUCGUCUGAAAAAGAAGCACGGCCAACCAUCUCUUUAUCACUUAUUUCACAUUAUAAUCUAGUAGGUACAACAUCUCGUCUCGACUUUAGUUUUUUGUAAAUUGUAAGUAUUUGUAUCUUGUCAAUUAUCAUGGUAAUGUCGGGUAACUGUUGAUCUA